UAUGACACUGUUGCGAACUGGGAU
rnacentral:miRNA from 1 species